AGGAGGAGGAGGAGGAGAAAGAGGAAAGCAUCGCCAAAGCGGAUUUCUGGCAUCCUCUGUGUGUACAUCGCGCCAUUCGUCGCCCUCUCGAGUCGUUAUAUCUCGCGCGCGCAGGCGUCACCUUCGGUUUGUAGGUCGGUAUCUGGUGUGAGUGAGAAUGAGCGACGCCUGGCGCGCGCGCUGCCAUGCUGUGUAAGUCUGCGGCCAGCUUUCAAUCACCGCAUCUUGCGAAGCGUCAGAUCUAAUGGGAGCCAAAGCGGAUACAGGUACAGCAUCAGCACACCGACUGCUCUGAUCGCCGACUAAAUACAAGCGGCUUGUCGUUCUUCAUAACUGAGGUCCUCUUUUUCUUUUCUUUUCUUGUUUUUUCUUUUUUUUUCUGCUAUGUGAUUUCUUUCGUUUUAGCUGCUUCUUUUGCACGGAACGCGGCGGAGGAAGAAAGGAAUUGGACUGGGAUAUACUUCAUUUUUUGUUCAUUUUCCCACAUUACCGGGCAUCGAAUCACACUCCCCAUAAUAAUCUGACGAUCGGGUGUGAUGUAGGACAAAUACAAGAAAGCAACGUUGAUGAAUCGGAGUUGGACUGUAAUUCUGAUCUUGUCUGGUUUGUCGUUUUGUCUUCGGCCCCCGGAUACGCAUUUUUGAGGGAACCCAGCAGGGCAGAUAGGGGGAGAUAUAGACGUUGGGGAGAUCGUAUCAAAGGUGGGAAAUCCAGAGUGGUAAAAGAAGAGAGCGUAAGAGAGAGAGAGAGAGAGAGAAAGAGAGGGAGAGAGGGAGCGAGAAAAAGAGAAACCAAGAAACAUUAAAUCAUGCUGCCCUCGCAAGAAGCCUCCAAGAUCUAUCACGACAACUACAUGCGAAACUCGCGGGCCAUCGGCGUGCUGUGGGCCAUCUUUACCAUCUGUUUCGCCAUCAUUAACGUGGUGGUGUUUCUCCAGCCUUACUGGAUAGGCGACAGCGUGAACACGCCGUACGCUGGCUACUUCGGCCUCUUCCACUACUGCAUGGGGGAGGGAAGCUCGAACCGCGAGCUCAGCUGCCGGGGCACGUUCUCCGACUUAAGCUUCAUGCCAUCAGGCGCCUUCAAGGCCGCCUUUUUCUUCGUGCUGCUCUCCAUGGUGCUUAUCCUGAGCUGCAUCGCCUGCAUGGCGCUUUUCUUCUUCUGCAACACCGCCACCGUGUACAAGACGUGCGCCUGGAUGCAGCUGCUCUGCGCUGUGUGUCUGGUGUUCGGAUGUAUAAUAUUCCCGGCUGGCUGGGAUGCAGAGGUGGUUCAGGACUUGUGUGGUGAGGAGACAGGAAAAUACACGCUGGGGAACUGCUCAGUGCGCUGGGCCUACAUCCUAGCCAUCAUCGGCAUCCUGGAUGCACUCAUCCUCUCUUUCCUUGCCUUCGUCCUCGGGAAUCGCCAAAGCGACUUCCUUCAAGAUGAAGUCAAGGCUGACAAUAAAGACUUUGCAGUAUCAAGGAUUGAGAUCCGUGACUCAAAGGAUCCUCGUUUUGGAGUCCAGCGGUUCCAUUAAAGAGACUUCUCUUCCUUCUUCAUCCCCGUCUCCUUCUAUCCUUGUCCUCUCAGACCCAACAAGUUGAGCAUCAGUGAGAACUUACAGCACAACAUUGCAACAUAGCUGACCAUGAUGGGUCUACAUAUGAGGCUUGUCUUUGACAGCGACACAAGUGAGCUGAAGAUUUAUAUCAGUGUUAGCUUUGAAGCUCACAUCAGCUAAGAAACAUUUUGUGCUCUUCUGCAAAUGAAGAAAUCAUGUGCUACAAUCAGCCCCAGGUAAAUUAACCUUUUUUUAUCACUGAAAGAUACAAAGCUCUGCAUGAGUCUAAGUUCAGGCAAUUGUGGGUUUCACUUCUGUAAAUCUUUGAAAAGAUUCUUGAAGUUUGAAGUCACUUUGUUCAACAUAAGAAGGAAAAAAACAAUGUAAUGCCAGGUUUGGGCACAGCUAUGCAGUGAUGUGUGUGAAAGAGCAAUUUCAGUGGUUAAAUAUGUAUGGCCGAUGUGGUGUUGGACGUUAGGUUUCGGAACUGCCAGAACAUGACUAAGCUUUGAGAUUCUUAAUUAAGCAUGGCAAAUAUACACACAGCAGAUAUAAAGCUUCUGACAUUGCGGUAUUGAAUCUGGCCUGUCAAUUGUAGCGAUCCUAUAUGGGGCUGUGUGCUGAUAUCUAAAUUACUGAGGCUAAUUGUGCAAUUAAAUGCACAGUGUAGAUGUUUAUAUUCAAAACGUGUUUACAAUGCCAUUAAAGGUUACAUUUUUGUUCUCUGGUCAGUGUUGGUUUUUAAAAAAGCUGUAAUUUUCUUGUUUCUCCUCCCCACAAAACAAACCUUUGCACAUAUAACACCUUUUGUGCUCCCUGGGCAGAAAAUUUCUUGUACAGAGACUUUCCUUGCGCUUUACAAGAAAGUGUUACACUGAUGCUGGGAAUCAUUUCCUGGGUCAUUCAAAGGACAACACACACACACACACACACACACACACACACACACAAACACACUGCACUAAACUGGAGGGAGGGUUUGGAUAGCACUGUGCAGCUUUGUGAUUGGACACGUUCAAGAUACAUGAAGCUGAAGAGUGACAUGUGAAUUCCUCCGUAUGGUGCUUUAUCCCUGUCCCCUUCUCAAUCAGCGUUCCCUUCUAUCACACCUGCAUCAGACGCCCCACAGCCCCUUGACUAUGGAGGAAGAGGGGAUGAAGGGGAUGGGAAUGCAAUCUGUGAAUGGGAAGGAAAGAAGGGAGUGGUACAGUCCAAGCAGAACUUUUUCUUACUGAAGCCUGCGAAACAGAAGCAAUGAUCCCCUUGUAGACAUGGCUAAGUGCCACAAAGUCCUUACAUGUCCAUCUUCUCCCUUUUCCUCACACGUCCAUGCUCUCUCAUCAUCCAUGAAGACUUAUAAAUGCAACUGUGUGUUUCCUUGAUAAUAUAUGAACAAACAUACGUAGUGGUUUUGAUCAUGUUUUAUUUUAUGCCUUUUAAGUAAAAAAUCUUUUCUUUUUUUUCCCAAGCAUUUGGGGGUCAUAAAUAAUUCUAAAGUCCUGGGAAAUCCCUGAACUGCAUAGUUUAAAGUGUUCCACUUACCUGAUUAAACCCAUUAAGCCCAAACACCUCAGACCAAUAGGCUAUUUAUUUACUCUUUUUUUUUUUUUUUUUUACUUUUUAUUUACUUAACAAAGUGUUUUCGAAUAUGCAAAUGAGACAAUAUAUUAGACUACUUUUUUAAGCAAACUGAUUCAUUUGGAGGUUUUUUUUUAAGCUUCACAGCUAUAAACAAUUUAAAAUGAAUCUAUUAUAAAGGUAUCAUUUUUCUUUUCUUUGAAAGUAAAACCACCAUUUUUGCCUGUGGUGCCUGGCUUUAAGGUAGCUGAAUCAGGCAUAUUGGAGCAGUAAAAACACUAGACUGCAGAACAGGGGGUCUCGCGCAAUGUGAUCUGAGAACCGCUGAAAAACAGCUUACUGUCCUCAGGAGUUUUUUUUUACUGUAGUGGGAGUGAAUGUUGUCUGGUUUGGAAAGGAAAAGAUUGGAUACAAAAAUACACUUGGGUUAUUUUAAUUUCACAAGGUGAAAGGUCAUACUUUAAACUGAAGUAUGUAUGCCAUAUUGUGUCUGACACCGACCAUUCUAUUAUUAAAUAAGAGCAAGAAAAGUAAAUAUAAUAGCAUGACUUGAGAAUUAUAACCCUGUGUAAAGGAAUGGGGCACACAUACUCAGCUCUAGAAACAAAUCUGUGGGCCCUGUGAAAACCUUUUUAGAAAGCUUUACUCCAUCCAUUCACUGUAAAAGGGUAAAUAGAAACUUAUUUUUUGUUCAUUCUGCAGACUAUGCUGCAGACUGUGCUGCUUCAAAAACAUUUGGGGUCUGCAAACAAGAAUUGUUCAUUAAUUUUUAAAACCUAGUUCAAAUUAUUAAAGUAUUUACAAUGCUCAGAACAUUGCUUUUCCAAUAGCAUGCAGUAAACAAUUAUUAUUUUUUUAUCAGUGAACAAUGAUAAUAGCUGAUUUGAGAAAAUAUGACUAAAUAAUAAAGAAAAACUGCAUUUCUUUACUUAUUCAUAACUAAAAAUCUGGUUUCUGAGCUUUGAAUCUGUUUAUACACACAAUGUUGUUUUUUCCAUAAUUCACCGAAGUUUUUCUUCUUCUGACAAUUAAUUCUGCAUCUGUGUAACUAUGAGGACUCAAAUAUUGAGUUAGAUAUGUCAUUUGAAACGAAAGAUUGAGGAUGUGAUGCAUUUUUGUUUUCACAUCUUAACCAUAGCCCUGAAGUACUGCAGCUGCUCUCUCUCAAUAACGAUCACAUUAUCAGUAUCCGAUAAAAAAACAUGCUUUCAUGCAAUUCACCAUUAUGUACAAAAUUGGAGAACACCACCGACUCAUCAUGGGAAAGUUAUUAAUCUGCUAUUAAUUGUUGUCAUUUUACAUUUUCUUUCGCUCUUUUAUAAUUUUGUAUCUUUCUCUACAAUCUUUUACUUGGAAAUAAAUGUGCCAAACCAAACUGAGCAAAUAGCUGUGGACAGAUAGGACUGAUUUCUUUUUCCAAGUAUGGAUUUUAUUUCCCCCUGUGCAAGUGUUGAAUGCCUUUCUUUUUUAUAUAUUUUUUGUUCUAGUUGUAAAUGUUGUUUUUAAUCGGAUAUUGUCUGGGAUGCUGCGAUGUCUCUUCAUAAAAUGAAAAAUGUUAUGUGAAUGUUACUGCAAGGUUAUCACAGGGGGAGUGCAAAAUGGUUGACAUUGUCACCGCCACUUAUACAUUGUUGGUGUUGUUUUAAAAGAAAAAAACCUGAAAUAAAUUAAUUGAAUCGGAGUUGGAGGUUUAUUUUGCUGUGAAAACUGAAUAUGUUGAAAUGCUAAGAGCUAUAUUUAAUUUGAGAAGCUGAUUAACCAGUAACUAACUACAUUUUCUAAUUAACCAUGAAACAGUGACAGAUUUCAUGACUCACUGAAAGUGUGCACGACAAACAAGAAGUAGUAAUUAUUCAAACUAAUGUGUUUUACACUGUUUUGGAUGUUUGAUAAUUAAAACAUCA